rnacentral:rRNA from 1 species
AUCGAACGCUGGCGGCAUGCCUAACACAUGCACGUCGAACGCGCGGCGGACGGGUGCGUAAUGUCUGGGAAACUGCCUGUUGGCGGCGGAUCACUACUGGAAACCGUAUCGAAUCCCGUAUUCCAUCCGAUGUGCCCAGAUGGGAUUAGCUAGUAGGUGGGGUAAUGGCGCACCUAGGCGACGAUCCCUAGCUGGCCUGAGAGGAUGACCAGCAACACUGGAACUGAGACACGGUCCAGACUCCGACGGGAGGCAGCAGUAGGGAAUAUGGCACAAUGGGCGCAAGCCUGAUGCAGCCAUGCCGCGUGAAUGAAGAAGGCCUUCGGGUGGGAAAGUACUUUCAGCGGGGAGGCGUUACUCGCAGAAGAAGCACCGGCUAACGGCGUGCCAGCCGGCGCGGUAAUUC